UACGUAGGGGGCUAGCGUUGUCCGGAAUCAUUGGGCGUAAAGCGCGUGUAGGCGGUCCGGUAAGUCCGCUGUGAAAGUCGGGGGCUCAACCCUCGAAUGCCGGUGGAUACUGUCGGGCUAGAGUGCGGAAGAGGCGAGUGGAAUUCCCGGUGUAGCGGUGAAAUGCGCAGAUAUCGGGAGGAACACCAAUGGCGAAGGCAGCUCGCUGGGACGGUACUGACGCUGAGACGCGAAAGCGUGGGGAGCAAACAGG
rnacentral:rRNA from 1 species